GAUGAACGCUGACAGAAUGCUUAACACAUGCAAGUCUACCAAGAAUCACUUCGGUGAGGAAUGGUGGCGGACGGGUGAGUAACGCGUAAAUAAUCUGCCCUUUAGACUGGGAUAUCCUUUGGAAACGAAGGUUAAUACCGGAUAUUAUGAGAUGGACGCAUGUUCAACUUAUGAAAGCUAAAUGCACUAGAGGAGGAGUUUGCGUCCCAUUAGCUAGUUGGUGAGGUAAAGGCUCACCAAGGCCACGAUGAGUAGCCGGCCUGAGAGGGUGAACGGCCACAAGGGAACUGGGACACGGUCCUUACUCCUACGGGAGGCAGAAGUGGGGAAUAUUGGACAAUGGACCAAAAGUCUGAUCCAGCAAUUCUGUGUUCACGAUGAAGGUCUUCGGAUUGUAAAGUGCUUUCAGUAGGGAAGAAAAAAAUGACGGUACCUACAAAAGAAGCGACGGCUAAAUAUGUGCAGCAGCCGCCGUAAAAC
rnacentral:rRNA from 1 species